GCUUUCUUCUAGCUUUAGCGCAUAUAUAUAAAAUUGGAACGAUACAGAGAAGAUUAGCAUGGCCCUUGCGCAAGGAUAACAUGCAAAUUCUUGAAGCGUUCCAUACUUAA